rnacentral:lncRNA from 1 species
ACCCAGGAGGCGGAGGUUGCAGUGAGCUGACAUCGUGCCACUGCACUCUAGUCUGGGUGACAGAGCAAGACUCCAUCUCAAAAAAAAAAAAAAAGAAAAUAUUGUAAACCUAGUGGCUUAUAAACAACAGAAAUCAGUUUCAGUUUUGGAGGCUGGAAGCCCAAGAUGAAAGCACCAGUAGAUGCAACCUCUUUUGUGAGGGUGAUGGUCCCAUGAUGAGGCUGUGCCCCUGCCCUGUGACCGGAUGACCUCCCAAAUGCCCCACCUAAUACCAUCCCCUUGCAGGUGAGGACUUAAGCAGGUGGGUUUUGGGGGGACGUGCUCAGGCCACAGCAGGGUGCAUGAAGAGCCAGUGAGCCUCAUUGAGCCCCUCUGGUCAGCCAGAUCUGACAUUGAGCCCAGCAUUGAAGAUCAAAGCAGGUGGGGCUUUGGGAUGUGAAGUGGGUUCUGACGCGGGGCCCCACAGACCUGUCUCCGCGUGAGCUGCCUGCAGGCCCCUGCGUCAUUCCUCAGCUGCGUGCGAGGCCUCUGGCUUGGAGAGCCUCCCCGCUGUGCACAGUUCUCUCUUUGCCAGGGCAGGGCUUGGGGCAGCACCAGGCUGGGGCAGAGGAGGAAAGCAAGAGGACAGACCUCCAGAAGAGCAGCGGAGGGCGGGUGCAGUUACUGCUCGCUGCAGCCUUGAACUGGCCUCAAGUGAUCCUUCCACCUCAGCCUCUCCAGUAGACAAGACUGCAGGGACACACCCCCAUGCCCAGCUACUGCAGGGACACAGCCCCAUGCCCGGCUAGGAGGGACACACCCCCGUGCCUGGCUAGGAGGGAAGUUCUUUUACGUUCUAUGAUGUGGGCGGACCUGGACAGAAUGCUGAGUGAGUGAAAGAAGACUGUCUCAAAAGGCCUUUACCCUGUGAUACCAUUUUUGUGAAAUAUCCAGAAAAUGUAAGUCAGACAGAAAAUAGAUUGUUUGAGGCUGGG